AGCGAACGCUGGCGGCAGGCCUAACACAUGCAAGUCGAACGGAUCCUUCGGGAUUAGUGGCGGACGGGUGAGUACCACGUGGGAACGUGCCCUUUGGUUCGGAACAACUCAGGUAAACUUGAGCUCAUACCGGAUGUGCCCUUCGGGGGAAAGAUUUAUCGCCAUUGGAGCGGCCCGCGUCUGAUUAGCUAGUUGGUGAUGUAACGGCCCACCAAGGCGACGAUCAGUAGCUGGUCUGAGAGGAUGAUCAGCCACACUGGGACUGAGACACGGCCCAGACUCCUACGGGAGGCAGCAGAGGGGAGUCUUGCGCAAUGGGCGAAAGCCUGACGCAGCCAUGCCGCGUGAAUGAUGAAGGUCUUAGGAUUGUAAAAUUCUUUCAGCGGGGACGAUAAUGACGGUACCCGCAGAAGAAGCUCCGGCUAACUUCGUG
rnacentral:rRNA from 1 species